GCUCCGCCCCUGGCCUCUGGUCCCGCCCCACUGCCGCACCUGGAGCAGUUUCCGCAGUCGAUGAUGGCGUUGUAGGAGGCGUUUACCGAGCCGAAGUAGUACUGGGUCUGUUUCAUGACGCAGCUGCUCUCGCGCGUCUCGGGGCUCCCCUCGGCCUCCGCGGGGUCUGCGAGGGCCCAGAGCGCCUCAGCUCCGCCCACAGACCCGGGCAAGGUCUCCGUCCUCCCUCAGUCGUAGGCCCCACCCUCCCCUUGGAGUCGUCUUUGCUCAGACUGGGGACCCGGACUUGAGGAGGCGCCUCCAAAGCCCUACCUACCUGCUUGGAACCAACUGUGGUAGAUGAGGCCGUAGAGAAGCUGCUGGAACAGGGACCUGCAGGGCACGGAGAGGCGAGUGCAGGUGGUCAGCAGAGAACGAUGCCGUGCCCUACUUCUCUUCUGAGCCCUACUGACCAGGGAGCACUUCUCUACCCACCUCCCGCUCAGGACUCACCAGGCGGCAGCAGAGGUCCACCAGGCCAGGUUAAGGAAGUCUGCAACGCACCAGGAAUCCUCCAUCAUCAAUGAGGACACAGAGCUGGGUGAUGCCUACGUGUUGAGAUCCUGGUCCCUCCACACACGCUCUACCAGCUGCUGCGUGAUGCCCGUGUCCAAGAUCAGGUUGUGCAGAAGAAAGUUGUUGCCUGGAACAGGAGGGGAGGGCUGGGGGUGGGGGUGUCUUCUUGCAGCUCCCUGUCCACUCUCGCCCCCACCCUCAAGGCUCCACCAGGAGCCUCCUCCAUGACCUGGCCCAGGCCCAGCCCUUAGCUUGUGCCUGCUUAUUUCCACACCUCCCCGGCCUCUGGGUUCCUCUGGGCUGGCCCCAUGCUGCCUGGGCACUGCCCAGAGCCAGCUGCUCUGCCAGACACUCACACUGCUUGGAGUCUGGAGUCACUUUCUCCAUGAGCUCAAUAAAGUUUUUCAGGAACUC